GUUAUAGGGUCUGAUCCAAAGCUCAGUGAAGUCAGUGGAAGUCUUUUCAUUGAUUACAAUGGGCUUUGGAUCAGGCCCACAGUGU
rnacentral:pre_miRNA from 1 species